CAAAGGUAAAUCGGGCGCACCUUGGCACCACUUGACUCAUUGUACACCAGCACCGACUCCUUCCAGAACUUUGACUGAAGUCAGGGUCGAUUUGAGCGACCUAAAUUUGAUUCCAACCACAGAACCCUUAGUUGGUAAGGAUGUGGGAGCAACUCCCCAGCUCACCAACUAACCGGCCUUCCAGAGAUAGGGGCUAUCCCUGGAAGAGAUUGGGAAUAUCGGGCCCCGUGUUUGUUAUUUUUAUAAUGGUCACAGGAGUUUCCAUGGGGAUUCUCCUGUGGGUAUUAGAGCAUCAUACACCUACAUUACAAGCAGACAUAGGACCCUCUAAUGGGUCACCCAACCUGACCACAUCCAUGACACAUAUAGAACUGACCAAUAAUUUGCACACGAAACGCUCCACCACCCCUACAACUGAUUGCAGGGCCAACGACGUGCGCAGUACGACUGUUUGUGUGCCCUUCAAUGCAACUAGUAUCAUUGACAUCCCUUGGGGGACCUUAGGGGGCCCUAGGAACGGGGUAGGAACCAGUGCCCUCUGGGCUGCUGGAUAUGUCUGGUAUAUGACAUUAGGAAAGGUUUGCGAUUGGUCUUGGAAGAAUUUAGUGGGGGAGACAAUUAAUGGGUGGGAAGACUGGACGACAAACAAGAGGGCAUUGGAAUGGCGGAAGCGACUGACUUUAACUAAGACAAAAACGGGACUGAAACUUACCGUUAGACCAGGGGACCAGCCUUUAAUGUGUUAUGAUUUCAUACUGGCCCCAUGGAAUUCCGGGACCAGAUAUUGGCUGUGGCGAAUUUGUUUGACUAAGAAUCCUAAACCGUCUUCGGUUACAGUAAGGAAUGACAUGAACGCACCCGUAAAAGGGUCACCUAUAUUCUCACUGUUUGGCCCGGUGGAGACAAUAUCCAGGCUUAAAAGUCCGGAUGAUGUAAUAUUGACAGCCACAGGGGUCUCAGGUUUUUCCAAUAAUUGGCUACUGUUGACAGAGGAAGCUGCAAAUACCACCAGACAGAGUUGUGUGGUGUGCAUGGGAGCUCGUCCAUUGCUUCGAAUUGUCCCAGCAGUGGUGACUCGAGCAUGCCUAAUCCCAUUUAUGACAACUGAUAACCCCAGAGAUAAUUGUACUGCCUGGGAUGGUGUCUAUCCAGUCACUAAAUUCACCGAUAGGAAACCAGUGUUUUCCAACCAGGUAGCAAGGGCAAAUUUUACUUGUGUCAAUAUGACGGGAGGAGGAACUAAAGUGGGAUGGGUUCCUGCAGAUUGGUGUCUGGAUACAGUUAAUAUUAAGGGUAGUUUUACGCCAAAAUCCAGAGCAGAUGUGUGGUGGUGGUGUGGUAGUACUGUCCUGUUUGAUAAGUUACCUUCCAACAGUACUGGACGCUGUGCACUUGUUACUCUCUUGUUGCCUGUUUCUAUCUACCCUAUAGGAGCCGAGGACCUCGUCCUGCGGAUCCAGGGAGUAAACCCCGGAUAUUGGGGACGUGCCAGGCGAGCCACCACCCCAUCUAGUGGAGACCCCACCUACAUAGACGCUAUUGGAGUCCCCAGGGGAGUGCCUGAUGAGUAUAAGUUAGUAGAUCAGGUAGCUGCAGGAUUUGAAUCAUCCCUCUGUUGGUGGUGUACAGUAAACAAAAAUGUUGAUCGUAUUAAUUACAUACAUUACAACAUCCAAAGGCUAGGCAAUUGGACUCAGCAGGGUUUUGAAGCUGUACAUGGUCAACUGGCUGCAACCAGCCUGAUGGCUUUCCAAAAUCGUAUUGCCAUUGAUAUGUUACUCUCUGAGAAGGGCGGAGUUUGCUCUAUGUUUGGUGACCAGUGUUGUACUUUCAUCCCCAAUAACACAGCUUCGGAUGGUAGCUUGUCGGCCGCUUUGGAGGGUCUGCGGACGCUUAAUGGUAAAAUGAAAUCUCAUUCUGGGAUAGAUUCCUCGAUGUGGGACUCCUGGAUGAGUGCGUUUGGUAAAUAUAAAACCCUGGUUUCCUCCAUUUUAGUCUCCAUUUCAGUGUUUGCUGCCAUCUUAGUUCUCUGUGGAUGCUGUUGCAUUCCAUGUAUCCGGUCCCUUACUACUAGAGUUAUCUCUAAAGCUAUUGACCCUGCCUCCCCUUCCCAGAUGUAUCCUCUGCUUGCUAAUGACCUGCCAGAGUUUGAGGAUGAGGUGGAGAAUACCCUUUAGAGAGUGUCACAUCUCUUUGGAGAUGUGAAGAGAGGGUAUCACAACUUUUUCCGGCUGGAAAUAGUUGGCCUAUGUAGAAUAUCAUUUUUACUUUCAUUUAGAGCUGUUGUUCUCCGCUCUGUUAAAUGAGGGUUGUAAGUUCCUAGGUGGCUGGUAGCCAACUUAGUACAUAGUGGGAUUGAGAGGAGAACAUGGUGGUAAUACAUAUACAUCCAUUUCUUUUUAAUGUUGUGCCUUUUUCAUAGCCCCUUUGGGAAAAGUUUUCUUUUGUAUCAGAAUCUAGUUAGGUUGUGUCACGUCUCUGGGGAGACGUGAAGAGAGGGAUUUGUAGAGGACUGCUAAUUCCUAUGUAGGUGACAUUACACUACUAUAGCUGAGACACAUAGUAAAACAGGUUGGGCCCCAUACAGGAUAUCUCUCACACACACACUCACUGUAAUCAUCCAGAACACUGUCACAACAGGAUACUCCUAGCCACAGGUGCUAGCCGGCAGUUCGGCCACAACUCCCCUGAAGAUAGGGACGCAUACGCUCUUACACACUGACCCCAGAAGACAGGGACGACGCACAUACAGUACACACAUAGCUGCCGAGGACACCCAGAUAAGACACCCACAGAUUGGCAGAAAGCCCAGACUUAGAGACAAACUAAGCACACCACAUAAUUUCCCUCCCAGCCGAACAUUGUAUGACUGAGGAUAGCGCACACACCAAAUCUCCUUUUCAGCUGAACAUGGUGUGACGACCAAGAACAGGCAUGGCAGGAUUCUACGAUGACGGACAGACAACAGAGCCAAUGCCGGAUGACUACACCCCAGCCUGAUCCAAUCCGAAGAUCCGAUCUCCUAGAUAUCAACCUACUUUCUGUUCUGUAUAUGAAGCUUGUACCCAUUGUUAGCUAGUCGUCUUUUUUGCUAGUCUCUGAUGAGCUAACAGAGGGGCCCGUAUAUACGCUGUACCAGAUAUCUCCACUUUGAAAUAAACCUGUCGCUUGUCGUACAAUCUAC